GACCUCAAGUUAUUACUACCUACAACAAUCACUCUUAAAGACUUACAAUUUAAAAUACGGAAGUUGUGUAGUGUUGCAAUAUUACAAUAACGUAUUAUUGUCAUUUUAUAUUUUAGUCUACAUCCUGGGCCUGAACAACACAUGAAUAAAUAUACAAAGUAAAUAUACAUAACAACUGCUAUUUGUUACCAACAACUUGAGGUCAUUCUUAUCAAACUUCUGAUUGGUAUUCAUCAACACGAAUCAGGCAUUAAAUAAACCUAUUGUGUCUGAAUCAUAUACAGUUUAAAUUAUUAUAAGCAUUUAUAUUAUUGUUUCCACACAUCAUAAUGGCCUUCUGAAAAUGUAUAUCAGCUAACAGUACAUCAUUGAUUUAGCAGGAUGCAAUUGAUGGCUAUCCAGCGACAACACCGAGAACACGACACCCAUUCUACAUAUUCAUCAUCCAGUGGACAACGGUGCCUAUCUGAGUGCCAGUUACAGUAUAAGCAUAUGUUUUGUCAUGUCUUCAGAAUUCUCUAAUAGAUAGGUCUUUAAAUAUUCUCUAUAAGUGUUAGGAUCGAACUCUAAACUGAACUUGGAAUUGUCCAUAAAUUUAAAUGCGUAAUAUAUAAUAUAAACUCCACAAUUAAAUGCAUCAUUUUGUUUUGGAACAUUUUCAAACGGGCAUGGAAUCUGUGUUAACGAUGGACAUUCAUGUGUGCCG